rnacentral:rRNA from 1 species
ACCCGCUGAACUUAAGCAUAUCAAUAAGCGGAGGAAAAGAAACCAACAGGGAUUGCCCUAGUAACGGCGAGUGAAGCGGCAUCAGCUCAAAUUUGAAAUCUGGCUCUUUUAGGGUCCGAGUUGUAAUUUGCAGAGGGCGCUUUGGCGUAGGCAGCGAUUCAAGUUCCUUGGAACAGGACGUCACAGAGGGUGAGAAUCCCGUACGUGGUCGCUAGCUCUUGCCGUGUAAAGCCCCUUCGACGAGUUGAGUUGUUUGGGAAUGCAGCUCUAAAUGGGAGGUAAAUUUCUUCUAAAGCUAAAUAUUGGCCAGAGACCGAUAGCGCACAAGUAGAGUGAUCGAAAGAUGAAAAGUACUUUGGAAAGAGAGUCAAAAAGCACGUGAAAUUGUUGAAAGGGAAGCGCUUGCAGCCAGACUUGCCUGUAGUUGCUCAUCCGGGCUCUUGCCCGGUGCACUCUUCUGUAGGCAGGCCAGCAUCAGUUUGGGCGGUUGGAUAAAGGUCUCUGUCAUGUACCUCUCUUCGGGGAGGCCUUAUAGGGGAGGCGACAUACAACCAGCCUGGACUGAGGUCCGCGCAUUCGUGCUAGGAUGCUGGCGUAAUGGCUGU